GGUCAGCUGACUUUGCGUCGUGAAACACCCCACCCCCGGGGGCUGAGCCUGAACUGACGGGACAGUGCCAGCUUCGGUGAUGAGGCCUCUCCGUCACCCUCCCCCAACGAUUAUUUCCCCGGACCCCAUAUGGGCACCCUGCCAGUCGAGCCCAUCCUCCAUCCUCAUCACCAACCACGUCCCACGAUGCUCGCUGCUGGCAGGAUCCUUUCAUUCGGGGGGCUACGGGCGGGUUAUAUUUUGCCUGCAAACAUCGCCUGACCUCAGCUAAAUGUAAAUGAACACAACCUCCUUUGCGCUGGAGCAAAGGGCAUUAAAGAUGGCGUCGUCGAUUUCUCGUAGAGCGAGAGGAGAAAAAAAAAAUCCUCCAAUCAGAAGGAGCCGGGAUUUCACCGCUAACACCUCUUUUCAAGUUUGUGGUUGGAGCAGCGACUGGUCUGAAGGUUGCUGGGAGCUGUGGCGGCUGCUGAGCUCAAUUCACAUUCACACCCGCCUGCCAUGAAUGGAAACGUGAAAAAGAGGCAGAAAUCGGAGGGAACGGCGGAGGCAGAGGGGCAAGACGGAGCGACGGGAGGGGAGGCGGGAGGAGGGCACGGUGGAAAAUCGGUUCCCAGACAAGCCGUCAAUUUGGGAAGAGGUGAGACAGGAGCGAGUUAAUACUGCGACUGCCUUUUCUCUUUCUCCAUCCUUCCAAGGAGUCUUUGAACUCUUUAACAAAAACAGUGGUUUGUGCAUCAAACUGCAAUUUGGUAAAACAAAGCUAUCUGGGGCUAUAAUCAUCCUAAUCAGCAAGAAAAAAAACAUAAAGCCUUUGCAGAUAUUCUGAGAUUAUUCCGCCCUUGGUGAUCUAUUUCCCCACCCGUCCUCCUCAUCAGGCACAAUUGUGGAAAUCUCUCCAGCUCUGCCUGCGACACACACAUUAACGCUAAGUCCUGGGUGCCGCGGCUUUAAUUGCUUUUAAUAAAGAGUUAAACUGCCGGUGUGUUUUCUCCUCGUCUGUUCCUCUGUUUCCAGCACACACAGGCUCGUAUUGUUCCAGCUUUGUGAGAAGCUGACGGGGGCCCCUCAUCAUCAUCUUACCGCGCCGAGCUAAUAUAAACAGGUUUGUUUGGUGUUGAAACAGCGUCAGCCGCUGAACUCCAAACCCACAAUAACGCAGACAUGAUGACGAUAAUUCGCCGCCGCCGCCGCGUUCCGAAGCCAAACGCGUUUCUGCCCCUUUACCUGAAACUUUUUGGUCAACUUCAUGCGACACAUUUCUAUCCUCAAAUCGUUUUUUUCAUCACGUUUUAUAGGUUUGCUUAAAGAAUGUCUGGGAGGAGUUAAAUCAAACUGAAAUAUUUGCUUGUUUGGACACAAACAGGGUUGUACUGAUACUUAAAGAUCUCCUGAUUUAGAUUGAAACGCACCGGCUAUGUGUGUCUAUUUGUGUUUGCAGGGUACAAACUAUAUAGCUUUUGCCAUAACUGCAUUGGACAUGAUUUAAACCAACACUAAAUCAGCUAACAGGACAAAAAAAAUAGCUUUUUGCUUUUUUUUAUGGGCUCUGUUUGUGUGUUUGG